GUACGGGGGGGGCGAAGCGUUGUUCGGAAUUACUGGGCGUAAAGGGCGCGUAGGCGGCCUGCUAAGUCGGAUGUGAAAUCCCUCGGCUCAACCGAGGAACUGCAUCCGAUACUGGCGGGCUUGAAUCCGGGAGAGGGAUGUGGAAUUCCAGGUGUAGCGGUGAAAUGCGUAGAUAUCUGGAGGAACACCGGUGGCGAAGGCGGCAUCCUGGACCGGUAUUGACGCUGAGGCGCGAAGGCCAGGGGAGCAAACGGG
rnacentral:rRNA from 1 species